AAAGGGCACGAUAUUGUGUGUAUUUCAUCAGCAUUAGGUUCCAGGGAAAAAGUGUGUUGCUGCAGCACGUAAAGCUGUAAAUUGUGAACCGGCUUGGGAAAAGCUGGAUUAAGGGUCCCUGGAGUGGAAGGAAGAGAGCAGGGUGGGCUUCCAUUCCUUGCUCCAGUAAGGGUUUGCAGGUAGGUAGCUAAGUAAUUGGCUAAUUAAGUAUAGUUAAAAGGAGGUGUGGAGCAACACCUCAGAGCUAGCUUCCCCCUAGAGACCUCCUUCAAGUAGUUUAGGGUGAAUAAAUUUGCCUGGCGCGAAUUCAUGAUGAAUUUCAGUGUUUCGCCGCCGGAGAAUAAAUUUGUGAAAGUCCCGACAGUUUUCUAAAUUUUUUUGCCGUUUUGCUCAUCACUAGUCUCAAGUGUGUCCCAGUGAGGAUUCUGAAAGCCAGCGAGGGCUAAAGGAAUACUCCAGCUUGAUUAAUUGCAACUAAUGCAAAAUCAUAGAAAAAAUAAUCAAAUUACUGCCGAAGAUACCCUUCCCGUUGACUUCUAUGGCAUCUGACAGAUUAGAGUUACAAUCACAACUGAUGCAAAAUCACAGAGGUAACAACCGAAUGGCUCGGGCACUGAAUGGUUUGCAUUGGACGAAAGGCAGACUUGAUGGAAAGCAUAUGUACAUUUUGAACAAGAUCUGGUACUUCAUUAUGUAAAUGCCUGAGGUUGUUUCCAUUUGAAGGUUAAUGAAUACACGGUCAAUAACCACUACUGGACAUCCAUGUGACUAUAUACAGUACUUUUUUGCAUUUGCAUCAUUUUUUAUAUGUUAAAGUAGCAGAAGUAUAUAUGUUACAGAAGUAGCAUUUACUUGCCAUUUGAGCACAAACAAAUCAAGUCAUGGUCCAUAACAAGGUAUUUCACAUAACUAUCUGACCCCUUAUCAUGAAAUGUAUUAUUAAAAAUAUAAAAGUGACUAGGUCAAAUAACUUUAAUCUUAAUAUAUGAUUUAUAAUCUUAAUAUAUCUCAACCUCAACCUCUGUCAAUCUGAACACGGUGAAUGCUAGAAAUUUGAAUGCAGUAAUUUAAAAAGGGGUACAAUCCUUUUAAAAUAUUUUAAGGAAACUGCACUCACAUACUACUCCAUAUUCCAAACUGGAAAACCUAUAUAUUUGUGGACACACCCUACACCUGGAGUGUUCUUUGAUCAUGGGUUAUGCAGACUCCAAAAUCAUCCAUAUUAGUAAAAGCACCUCCCCCAAUUCAGGACUCUCCUACCUAAAUAGGGACAACCUCGGAGGUAUGCACCCAUUAUAUCAGGGGCAUGGUGCUCUGUUAAUAGUGCAGGCAGUGUACCACUAAAUCAUGGUCUAAUCAUAUUGCAACCCUGAACACCCUGCAGCUAUAAAAAUGACAUUUUAUUUCAUGGUUGGCAGGGCUGAAAGUAACUAGGUGUCCUAGGGACCCCUACAAUCCAGUCUUUGCUGCCCUGAGGAUGGGCCAUUAAAGCUUGAGGAGCUCCAGGCAAGUGAGAAUAAAUGAGACAUUACUAGAAGCAAAGAGGCAGUUAAGUGAGGAAGACGCCAAUUCUGCAGGGGGUCAGCAAUAUUUUGAAAUGACUUUCUCUCCGUUAAUUAAUGAGUAGUCUAUGGAAUCACUCUCUGAAACGCUUGCAGAUAUAUAUAUAUAUAUAUAUAUAUAUAUAUAUAUAUAUAUAUAUGUGUGUGUGUUUACCUUUAUUACUUUUAAGAGCUUACUUUGAAUGAUAUGAAGUUGUUUGGAGAAAUUAUAACACCACUGAAUGUGUAUAUCUACAUUCUAAACUAGGCAAAAAGAAUGCAUUCCUACUUUAGUGCAAGAGACAUCUGCUUUUGCUCAAGGAUCAUUUUUUAUGUUUACUUUUUUUUCCUGUUUUCUUUAAUACGUCACAUUAAAUGGCAAUUUAAACCCAACGUUGA